AUUGAACGCUGGCGGCAGGCCUAACACAUGCAAGUCGAACGAGUGGCGGAUGGGUGAGUAAUGUCUGGGAAACCGCCUGAUGGAGGGGGAUAACUACUGGAACCGGUAGCUAACACCGCAUACCAUCGGAUGUGCCCAUUUGGGAGUCGCUAUUAGGUGGGGUAACGGCUCACCUAGGCGACGAUCCCUAGCUGGUCUGAGAGGAUGACCAGCCACACUGGAACUGAGACACGGUCCAGACUCCGACGGGAGGCAGCAGUGGGAAUAUUGCACAAUGGGCGCAAGCCUGAUGCAGCCAUGCCGCGUGUAUGAAGAAGGCCUUCGGGUUGGAAAGUACUUUCAGCGGGGCAGCGUUACCCGCAGAAGAAGCACCAGCUAAGUCCGUGCCAGCAGCCGCGGUAAUUC
rnacentral:rRNA from 1 species